CACACAUAGGAUGUACUCACUUAUAAGUGGAUUUUUGCCAUAUGGUACAGGAUAAGCAUACUCAGAGGCACAGACUCAAAAGAAGCAGUUGGGAGAACUGGCCCCUGUGGUCAUGAGAGCAAGAGAUUUGGUCCUGGCCCUUGGCAAGCUGCAGCACUCAGGAGACCAAGCAUCUCACCUGGGCAGCACAGUUGGCCUGGCCCUGAUCAGGAGGCAGCAGUAGCUGGAAGAGCUGGCUCUGGGGUGAUGAGAGCAGGAGAGCUAUCUCUGACCCCUCACUGGCUGUAGCACUCAGGAGAGCCAGCCCUGCACCUGGCCUGGGCAACACAGUGAAGCUCAUGCUGAUAGCGAAGGCAGAGGUGAGCCAGUCCUGAGGGUGUCAGAGCAGGAGAGCUGGCCCAGCCCCUCACAGGCUGCAGCACUUGGGAGUCUGGGCCCUGCACCUUGA